rnacentral:tRNA from 2 species
GCCCAGGUGGUGAAAUUGGUAGACACGCUAGCUUCAGGUGCUAGUGGCCGCAAGGCCGUGGAAGUUCGAGUCUUCUCCUGGGCACCA